rnacentral:rRNA from 1 species
AGCAAUACGGAGUGGCAGACGGGUGAGUAACACGUGGGAACGUACCCUUUGGUUCGGAACAACACAGGGAAACUUGUGCUAAUACCGGAUAAGCCCUUACGGGGAAAGAUUUAUCGCCAAAGGAUCGGCCCGCGUAUGAUUAGCUAGUUGGUGAGGUAACGGCUCACCAAGGCUACGAUCAGUAGCUGGUCUGAGAGGAUGAUCAGCCACACUGGGACUGAGACACGGCCCAGACUCCUACGGGAGGCAGCAGUUAGGAAUCUUGGACAAUGGGCGCAAGCCUGAUCCAGCCAUGCCGCGUGAGUGAUGAAGGCCUUAGGGUUGUAAAGCUCUUUCAGCGGGGAAGAUAAUGACGGUACCCGCAGAAGAAGCCCCGGCUAACUUCGUGCCAGCAGCCGCGGUAAUACGAAGGGGGCUAGCGUUGCUCGGAAUCACUGGGCGUAAAGCGCGCGUAGGCGGAUCUUUAAGUCAGGGGUGAAAUCCUGGAGCUCAACUCCAGAACUGCCUUUGAUACUGGGGAUCUCGAGUCCGGAAGAGGUGAGUGGAACUCCGAGUGUAGAGGUGAAAUUCGUAGAUAUUCGGAAGAACACCAGUGGCGAAGGCGGCUCACUGGUCCGG